GGGCGCAAGCCUGAUGCAGCGACGCCGCGUGCGGGAUGACGGCCUUCGGGUUGUAAACCGCUUUUGACAGGGACGAAGCGCAAGUGACUGUACCUGUAGAAUAAGGACCGGCCAACUACGUGCCAGCAGCCGCGGUAAUACGUAGGGUCCGAGCGUUGUCCGGAAUUACUGGGCGUAAAGAGCUUGUAGGCGGUUCGUCGCGUCGUUUGUGAAAACUUGGGGCUCAACCUUAAGCUUGCAGGCGAUACGGGCGGACUAGAGUACUUCAGGGGAGACUGGAAUUCCUGGUGUAGCGGUGAAAUGCGCAGAUAUCAGGAGGAACACCGGUGGCGAAGGCGGGUCUCUGGGAAGUAACUGACGCUGAGAAGCGAAAGCAUGGGUAGCAAACAGGAUUAGAUACCCUGGUAGUCCAUGCCGUAAACGGUGGGUACUAGGUGUGGGGCUCCUUCCACGGACUCCGUGCCGUAGCUAACGCAUUAAGUACCCCGCCUGGGGAGUACGGCCGCAAGGCUAAAACUCAAAGAAAUUGACGGGGG
rnacentral:rRNA from 1 species